rnacentral:rRNA from 1 species
UACGAAGGGGGCUAGCGUUGUUCGGAAUCACUGGGCGUAAAGCGCACGUAGGCGGUUUGCUAAGUCAGGGGUGAAAUCCUGGAGCUCAACUCCAGAACUGCCUUUGAUACUGGCGAUCUCGAGUCCGGGAGAGGUGAGUGGAACUGCGAGUGUAGAGGUGAAAUUCGUAGAUAUUCGCAAGAACACCAGUGGCGAAGGCGGCUCACUGGCCCGGUACUGACGCUGAGGUGCGAAAGCGUGGGGAGCAAACAGG